UACGUAGGGUGCAAGCGUUAAUCGGAAUUACUGGGCGUAAAGCGUGCGUAGGUGGUUCGUUAAGUCUGAUGUGAAAGCCCUGGGCUCAACCUGGGAAUGGCAUUGGAAACUGGCGACCUAGAGUGCGGUAGAGGGUAGUGGAAUUCCCGGUAUAGCAGUGAAAUGCGUAGAGAUCGGGAGGAACAUCCGUGGCGAAGGCGACUACCUGGACCAGCACUGACACUGAGGCACGAAAGCGUGGGGAGCAAACAGG
rnacentral:rRNA from 1 species